UAUAGUUUGGCAAAGCAAAAUUUCUAAAGACAGGCAAUGGCAAACGGCUACAGUUUUCUUGGCAGAACUGCUGAUCAUCCCUCAAAAAUAGCGUAUGAAGUAUCAUAAGUGGUGGAGUAAUUGAACUUUAAUUUGUGGAGCGUUUGGAUUCAAAGAUAGAAACGUUUCUGUGGAGGCGGAAAUAAGUGGAAAAUGGAAGGACGAGGAUGGAAAAGAGACGGAAACUCCUGCCAGCAUGUAUAUCUAUGAGGACAAUUGAAGUUCAACUUGCAAAAUAAAAGGAACCGAUUCUGUCUUGACAAAGUUAUAAUGAAAAGCUCCCAAUUUGAGUGUCGGACAACGUGUAAGUAUAAGAUAUUACAUAAUUGCCUACUUAUAUGGUGUUCGGAAAUAUAUUUGUUUACUUUUUAGUCAUUUGAUCAUAAUUCUGUUCACGUGACCGUUGAGGUAUAUACUGUAUUAUAUAAUGUGAAUGUUGUGCUAUGGCGUUAUAUUAUAGAGUGUAGAGUACAAAUAUGGUUUUACCAUGAAGUGCGUGGUGUGAGGUACUUAAACAUUGAUACACUUAUCUGAAAUCCGCCUCUUCUUUGUAUUAUAUAUGCAUUUGCAUUUUCAAUAUAAAAUGUGCAAUGUGUUUUUGUUAUAUGCUUAUUAAAAAGAUUAACUAUA